GAUCACGUGGCUCAAUGGUAGAGCAUUGGUCUUCGGAACCGUGAGGAUUUAACCAAAGGUUGAGGGUUCGAGUCCCUCCGUGAUUA
rnacentral:tRNA from 1 species